GAUCUGUAGCGGGUCUGAGAGGAUGAUCCGCCACACUGGAACUGAGACACGGUCCAGACUCCUACGGGAGGCAGCAGUGGGGAAUUUUGGACAAUGGGGGCAACCCUGAUCCAGCCAUGCCGCGUGAGUGAAGAAGGCCUUCGGGUUGUAAGGCUCUUUCGGCCGGGAAGAAAUCGCAUGGGCCAAUACCCUGUGUGGAUGACGGUACCGGAAUAAGAAGCACCGGCUAACUACGUGCCAGCAGCCGCGGUAAUACGUAGGGUGCGAGCGUUAAUCGGAAUUACUGGGCGUAAAGCGUGCGCAGGCGGUUUUGUAAGACAGGCGUGAAAUCCCCGGGCUCAACCUGGGAACUGCGUUUGUGACUGCAAGGCUAGAGUACGGCAGAGGGGGGUGGAAUUCCACGUGUAGCAGUGAAAUGCGUAGAGAUGUGGAGGAACACCAAUGGCGAAGGCAGCCCCCUGGGUCGAUACUGACGCUCAUGCACGAAAGCGUGGGUAGCAAACAGGAUUAGAUACCCUGGUAGUCCACGCCCUAAACUAUGUCAACUAGGUGUUGGGUGGGUAAAACCAUUUAGUACCGUAGCUAACGCGUGAAGUUGACCGCCUGGGGAGUACGGCCGCAAGGUUAAAACUCAAAGGAAUUGACGGGGACCCGCACAAGCGGUGGAUGAUGUGGAUUAAUUCGAUGCAACGCGAAAAACCUUACCUACCCUUGACAUGCCAGGAACUUGCCAGAGAUGGCUUGGUGCCCGAAAGGGAGCCUGGACACAGGUGCUGCAUGGCUGUCGUCAGCUCGUGUCGUGAGAUGUUGGGUUAAGUCCCGCAACGAGCGCAACCCUUGUCGUUAAUUGCCAUCAUUUAGUUGGGCACUUUAGCGAGACUGCCGGUGACAGACCGGAGGAAGGUGGGGAUGACGUCAAGUCCUCAUGGCCCUUAUGGGUAGGGCUUCACACGUCAUACAAUGGUCGGUACAGAGGGUCGCCAAGCCGCGAGGUGGAGCCAAUCCCAGAAAGCCGAUCGUAGUCCGGAUUGCAGGCUGCAACUCGCCUGCAUGAAGUCGGAAUCGCUAGUAAUCGUGGAUCAGCAUGUCACGGUGAAUACGUUCCCGGGUCUUGUACACACCGCCCGUCACACCAUGGGAGCGGGUUCCGCCGGAAGUAGGUAGCCUAACCGCAAGGAGGGCGCUUACCACGGCGGGGUUCGUGACUGGGGUGAAGUCGUAACAAGGUAGCCGUAGGGGAUCCUGCGGCUG
rnacentral:rRNA from 1 species